CGACCGGCGCACGGGUGCGUAACACGUAUACAAUCUACCUUUAACAGGGGGAUAGCCCGAAGAAAUUCGGAUUAAUACCCCAUAAUAGUUUUCUUGGCAUCAAGAGGAUUUGAAAGCUCCGGCGGUUAGAGAUGAGUAUGCGGUCUAUUAGCUAGUAGGUGAGGUAACGGCUCACCUAGGCUACGAUAGAUAGGGGAUCUGAGAGGACUACCCCCCACACUGGUACUGAGACACGGACCAG
rnacentral:rRNA from 1 species